rnacentral:SRP_RNA from 1 species
GCUGGGUGCGGUGGUGUGUGCCUGUGGUCCCAGCUACUUGGGAGGCUGAGGCGGGAGGAUCGCUUGAGCUCAGGAGUUUGAGGCUGCAGUGAGGUGUGACCUCACCACUGCACUCCAGCCUGGGUAACAGAGUGAGACCCUAUCUCAA